rnacentral:rRNA from 1 species
CAUGUAGGCGGCCCCUUAAGUCGAUCGUGAAAUCCCUUGGCUUAACCAAGGAACUGCAGUCGAUACUGGGGGGCUUGAGUACAGAAGAGGAAAGUGGAAUUCCCGGUGUAAGAGUGAAAUCUGUAGAUAUCGGGAGGAACACCAGUGGCGAAGGCGACUUUCUGGUCUGUUACUGACGCUGAAAUGCGAAAGCUAGGGGAGCAAACAGGAUUAGAUACCCUGGUAGUCC